rnacentral:rRNA from 1 species
GGAGUCUGGGCCGUAUCUCAGUCCCAAUGUGGCCGAUCACCCUCUCAGGCCGGCUACCGAUCGUCGCCUUGGUGGGCCGUUGCCCCGCCAACUAGCUAAUCGGACGCAAGCUCAUCCCAUGCCGAUAAAUCUUUCGUCAACUCCCUAUGCAGGGAGCCACUAUAUCCGGUAUUACCCGCGCGUUGGCACGGCUAUUCCCGGGCAUGGGGCAGAUUGCUUACGCGUUACGCACCCAUGCGCCGGUCGCCAUCAAAGUCAGCAAGCUGACUUCAUGCUGCCCCUCGACUUGCAUGUGUUAAGCCUGUAGCUAGCGUUCAUC